rnacentral:rRNA from 1 species
CGUGAGAUGUCAGGUUAAGUCCUGUAACGAGCGCAACCCUCGUCGCUAGUUAUACGUGUCUAGCGAGACUGCCCGUGAUAAGCGGGAGGAAGGUGAGGAUGACGUCAAGUCAGCAUGGCCUUUAUAUCCUGGGCUACACACACGCUACAAUGGCCAGUACAAUGGGUUGCCAAGUCGCGAGACGGAGCCAAUCCUGCAAAGCUGGUCUCAGUUCGGAUUGCAGGCUGCAACUCGCCUGCA